rnacentral:misc_RNA from 1 species
CUUGACUCACAGUGCAAAGAAUUCCAGGAACAAGCCAUUAAAAUCCUGCAUAAUCUUUCCUCAAACAGUGACAUAUGUUCCCAAAUUGUAUAUUUGGAGUGCAUCCCAAAGUUAGUUCCUUUCAUAAAUGAGGGCAGAAUUGCAAUACAUUGUAUGGUUUUAUUGAAAAAUUUAUGCGAUAUUGAAGAGGCUAGGGUUGCUGUAGCUCAGCAAUGGAAGAAAUGCAUCCAUUUGUUUCAGCAAUUGAGAGCGGCAGUCGUGAGGAACAGGAGCAAGCAGUGGCUGUUCUUCUUUCUUUAUGCUC